rfam:Ixodes scapularis strain Wikel colony gcontig_1108378238550, whole genome shotgun sequence.
UCCUGGUUAGCUCAGUUGGUAGAGCGCUUCAUUGCAAAUAGAGAGGUCCCUGGUUGAAUACAAGGACCAGGUG